rnacentral:rRNA from 1 species
UACGGGGGGGGCAAGCGUUGUUCGGAAUUACUGGGUUUAAAGGGUGCGUAGGCGGCCAUGUAAGUGGGGUGUGAAAUCCCUCGGCUCAACCGAGGAACUGCGCUCCAUACUGCAUGGCUUGAGGGAGACAGGGGUAAGCGGAACUGAUGGUGGAGCGGUGAAAUGCGUUGAUAUCAUCAGGAACACCGGUGGCGAAAGCGGCUUACUGGGUCUCUUCUGACGCUGAGGUACGAAAGCUAGGGGAGCGAACGGG